GAUUGACAGAAAGAGAGAGUUCGAUUGAGCUGGGCCUUGAUGAGCUGAUGGAGCUGACGGCUCAGAGCCUGAGCCACCUAGAGAUUAAAGAGCACUUCAACAUCAUCAAGGAAACCGUCCGGGGGGAGUGUGACAAGGUGCUGCUGGUCACCCAUCGCUGCAGGGGAACACCGAGGGCUCUGAAGGUGAUGCCAAAAGCCUCCACCAAGCUCCGGGGAUUCCUACAGGAGUAUUGCAUCUCCUUGCACCUGUCCUGCCACUCCUGUAUUGUGGGUCUCUUCGGAAUCACCUUCCAAUCCAAUGAGCACUAAGGCUUUGCCCAGGAGCUUGUUAUUGGGAGGGACCUUUUUGCCGUCAUCGAAGAGAAAGUAGGUAUCCCAGAGUGUGCUGUGUCCUUCAGAUCACCAGUGCCCUGGAGUUCAUCCACGAGCAUGGUCUGGUCCACCGCGACAUCAAGCCUGAGAACAUCCUGCUGCUGGACAGCCACUGCUGCUGGGUUAGUGCAUUUGGAAAGUAUACAGACCCCUUCCCCUUUCCCACAUUUUGUUACAGCCUU